GGUUGGGCUGUUCGCCCAUGAAAGCGGUACUCGAGCUGGGUUCAGAACGUCGUGAGACAGUUCGGUCCCUAUCCGCUGCGCGCGGAGGAAUCUUGAGAAGGGCUGUCUUUAGUACGAGAGGACCGAGACGGACUGACCUCUGGUGUGCCAGUUGUUCUGCCAAGAGCAUGGCUGGUUGGCUACGUCGGGUUGUGAUAACCGCUGAAAGCAUCUAAGCGGGAAGCGCGCCUCAAGAUGAGAUCUCCCGGGGCACAAGCCCCCUGAAGGAACCAUGUAGACUACGUGGUUGAUAGGUCAGGUGUGUAAGUACCAAUGUAUUGA
rnacentral:rRNA from 1 species